AGUGAACGCUGGCGGUAGGCCUAACACAUGCAAGUCGAACGGCAGCACAGUAAGAGCUUGCUCUUACGGGUGGCGAGUGGCGGACGGGUGAGGAAUACAUCGGAAUCUACUUUUUCGUGGGGGAUAACGUAGGGAAACUUACGCUAAUACCGCAUACGACCUACGGGUGAAAGCAGGGGAUCUUCGGACCUUGCGCGAUUGAAUGAGCCGAUGUUGGAUUAGCUAGUUGGCGGGGUAAAGGCCCACCAAGGCGACGAUCCGUAGCUGGUCUGAGAGGAUGAUCAGCCACACUGGAACUGAGACACGGUCCAGACUCCUACGGGAGGCAGCAGUGGGGAAUAUUGGACAAAGGGCGAAAGCCUGAUCCAGCCAUACCGCGUGAGUGAAGAAGGCCUUCGGGUUGUAAAGCCCUUUUGUUGGGAAAGAAAAGCAGCAGGUUAAUACCCCGCUGUUCUGACGGUACCCAAAGAAUAAGCACCGGCUAACUUCGUG
rnacentral:rRNA from 1 species